UGCGCUCACCGGCAGGGUCCGGUACUCACCGUUCACCUAGGGCAGACACAACGCAAUGCACCGUGGACUCCCUGGGGCCGUCAGCCCCACGGGGACUGGCUCCCUUCUCACACAGAAACUCCUGCUGCUUGCAGUCUUGAGGACACCCUGGAAUCCUGUGGCAAUGCAAUCCUUGCCUUUUCUGCGCAACCCUAAUGAUAUCCUCCUGACAAAUGGUAAUUUCCAGUAAUCUUUGAUACGUACGGCAGAAGGUUGCAUUUCUCCAUGGUGUCAGCUGGACUCCUGCAGCUUGGCACAUGUCUGCAUA